AUUGAACGCUGGCGGCAGGCCUAACACAUGCAAGUCGAACGAGUGGCGGACGGGUGAGUAAUGUCUGGGAAACUGCCUGAUGGAGGGGGAUAACUACUGGAAACGGUAGCUAAUACCGCAUACCAUCAGAUGUGCCCAGAUGGGAUUAGCUUGUUGGUGGGGUAACGGCUCACCAAGGCGACGAUCCCUAGCUGGUCUGAGAGGAUGACCAGCCACAGUGGAACUGAGACACGGUCCAGAAACCUAGGGGAGGGAGCAGUGGGGAAUAGUGAAGAAGGGGCGCAAGACUGAAGCAGCCAUGCAGGGUGGAUGAAGAAGGCCGUCGGGUUGGAAAGUACUUUCAGCGGGGAGGCGUUACCCGCAGAAGAAGCACCGGCUAACUCCGUGCAAGCGGCCGCGGAAAUA
rnacentral:rRNA from 1 species